ACACACUGAAGAUAUUUUACCCGGUGACUAUGAAAGACUUUUGGGUCAAUUUCCUGCCAAAAGACACGUUGAGUCCUUUAUUGGAAAACGAGAUAGCGAUGACGUCUCAGGGGACAGUGGUCCGAAUGAAUCUCAGUUAGAUGACCAACAAGCACACCUUGAAAAGCAAGAUUCUCUGAGAAAAUACCUCCAGUACCUUCGUGAUGAAAGAGUUUUCGAAGAAAAAUGAUUAGGUGAAGUAAUUAUACUUUGAUUUCUACUUAACUAAUUCAAGAAACAUCUUCAAUAUCAAAACCAAAUAAAAUACUGUGCUGGUCA